GACUGGAAAGCUCUGUUGGUUAGAGUGUGAUGCUGAUAAUGCCAUGGUUGCAGGUUCGAUCCCUGUUUGGGACA